GAUGAAGAACGCAGCGAAAUGCGAUAAGUAAUGUGAAUUGCAGAAUUCAGUGAAUCAUCGAAUCUUUGAACGCACAUUGCGCCCGCCAGUAUUCUAGCGGGCAUGCCUGUUCGAGCGUCAUUUCAACCCUCAAGACCCCUUCGGGGGACUUGGUGUUGGGGACCGGCACAGGGGCCUGCCUGCUUGUCUUGCAGCGCCCUCGCCGCCCCCGAAAUGAAUUGGCGGCCUCGUCGCGGCCUCCCCUGCGUAGUAGCACAAACCUCGCAACGGGAACGUGACGGCGGCCACUGCCGUAAAACAACCCAAUUUUAUUAGAGUUGACCUCGAAUCAGGUAGGAAUACCCGCUGAACUUAAGCAUAUCAAUAAGCGGAGGA
rnacentral:misc_RNA from 1 species